rnacentral:tRNA from 1 species
UAAAGGUCUCUGAGGAGCUGCUAACUCUUCUAUAGUUUUACUAACCUUUUU